rnacentral:rRNA from 1 species
CGUGAGGAACCUGCCUUGGAGUGGGGAAUAACAGCCAGAAAUGGCUGCUAAUACCGCAUAAUGCAGUUGGGUCGCAUGGCUCUGACUGCCAAAGAUUUAUCGCUCUAAGAUGGCCUCGCGUCUGAUUAGUUUGUUGGCGGGGUAACGGCCCACCAAGACGACGAUCAGUAGCCGGACUGAGAGGUUGGCCGGCCACAUUGGGACUGAGACACGGCCCAGACUCCUACGGGAGGCAGCAG